UGGCCCUGCGCAUGCCCACUCAGAACCCAGGACUUAGCCACGUCAGUUGGGUCUGGUCCGCAGUGCGGCGUUGGAGCUGGUCGGGGCUAGACGCUUGUAGCGGGUGCUCCGUGACUGGCGCCAUUCCUGGGCCUUCAGGCCUCAGACUUCCAAAUUAAAUCCACAGAAAAGAUGCCCUCAAGAUGCUACCUGCUGAUGCCCAUCGGGGGUGGAGAAGGGCCCUAGAUGAUCUGAAAGGCGAUUCUCUGUAGAUGGUGGGCGGAUGGCAGUGGAUGGCGCUCGGAUGGCCCUCCGGCCUUCCUCUGUGCCACAAGCCUGUGGAUGCUGCAGAAGCUCACGCGCCCGGGACAUAGAAGCGGCGAACCUUUGGGUGCUACGGCGGAGGCUUUGAGAUACCUCAGCGAGAACCAGCCAGUCGCAGCGGCGAACCGCAGUGGGAAGAACCUGUGGAUGCCCCGCGGAAGCAGUGGCUACCAGGCUCCACCACUCCCGCCACCUGUAGACGCACCUCUUUAAGAGGUGCCACAGGAACUGCUGUGGGUCAGAGAGGGACCUGGACCACCUUGGAGGCACCUGGAGACAGAGAGGUAUACCCUUAGCAUUCUGGGUGAAUCUCCAUUGGAAGCCUUUCAGGAGGACAUAAUGACUCACAAUAAGAUGAGAAGAGAAAAGUUCUCUUAGUGAGAAACAUGAAUGAGAUCCCAGAGGCUCGAGAAACUGAGGCCCUUGAAGGUCGAUACUGCACAUGACGUGUGGUGAGAAGAACCAUCCCGUGGCUGUCCAGAAGUUGGGAGCACUGUACCUGAAGACUUCAGUAAUGCCAUUGCCAAGAAACGCAAGUAGUCCUUUCUGUAUCUUGCCUUCUACUUGGGUUUCAGAAAACAAGUUUUCUAAAGGGAUCCAAGAAACCCUUAUCUCCCAUCAGGAGGCAGAACCUCAACCCCAAGCUUCCAACUGGGAGCUAAGGGACCCAAGUCUUCCAAAGGGAAUCGAGGGACCCAAGAUGAACCAAGCCUCCUACCAGGAGCCAGGAACCAAGCCUUGGUCCUUCUAACAGAACCCAGGCCUUCCAUCAGGUUCUAGCACCCAGCACCCAGGCCUUCUAACAGGAUCUAGUACCCAGGCCUUCCAUCAGGAUAUAGCACCCAGAAACCAGGCCUUCCUUCAGGAUCUAGGAUCUAAGACUUAGGACCUAGAAGCCAAGGCCUUUGACCAGGACCCAGAAGACAAGGCCUUUGACCAGGAUCUAGGACAAAGAAGCCAAGGCCUUUGACCAGGAUCUAGGACCCAGAAGCCAAGGCCUUUGAGGAGGAUCUAGGACCCAGAAGCCAAGGCCUUUGACCAGGACCCAGGACCCAGAAGACAAGGCCUUUGACCAGGACCCAGGACCCAGAACACAAGGCCUUUGACCAGGACCCAGGACCCAGAAGACAAGGCCUUUGACCAGGACCCAGAAGACAGGGCCUUUGACCAGGAUCUAGGACCCAGGACCCAAGGCCUUUGACCUGGACCUAGGACCCAGGACUCAGAAGACAAAGUCUUUGACCAGGAUCUAGGACCCAGGACCCAGAAGACAAGACCUUUGGCCAGGCCCCAGGCCCCAGGACCCAAAAGACAAGGCCUUUGACCAGGACCCAGAAGACAGGGCCUUUGACCAGGAUCUAGGACCCAGGACCCAGGACCCAGGACCCAAGGCCUUUGACCUGGACCUAGGACCCAGGACUCAGAAGACAAAGCCUUUGACCAGGAUCUAGGACCCAGUACCCAGAAGACAAGAUCUUUGGCCAGGCCCCAGGCCCCAGGCCCCAAAAGACAAGGCCUUUGACCAGGACCCAGAAGACAAGGCCUUUGACCAGGACCCAGAAGACAAGGCCUUUGACCAGGAGUCAGGACCCAGAAGACAAGGCCUUUGACCAGGACCCAGGACCCAGAAGACAAGGCCUUUGACCAGGACCCAGGACCCAGAAGACAAGGCCUUUGACCAGGACCCAGGACCCAGAAGACAAGGCCUUUGACCAGGACCCAGGACCCAGAAGACAAGGCCUUUGACCAGGACCCAGGACCAAGAAGACAAGGCCUUUGACCAGGACCCAGGAUCCAGAAACCAAGGUCUAUGACCAGGAUCUAGGACCCAGGACCCAGAAGACAAGGCCUUUGACCAGAACACAGGACCCAGGACCCAGAAGUUAAGGCCUGUGACCAGGAUCUAGGACCCAGGAACCAAAGCCUUUGACCAGGAUCCAAGACCCAGAAGACAAGGCCUUUGACCAGGACCCAGGACCUAGAAGACAAGGCCUUUGACCAGGACCCAGGACCCAGAAGACAAGGCCUUUGACCAGGACCCAGGACACAGAAGAUAAGGCCUUUGACCAGGACCCAGGACACAGAAGACAAGGCCUUUGACCAGGAUCUAAGACCCAGGACCAGAAGACAAGGCCUUUGACCAGGACCCAGGACCCAGAAGACAAGGCCUUUGACCAGGAUCUAGGACCCAGGACCCAGAAGACAAGGCCUUUGACCAGAACACAGGACCCAGGACCCAGAAGCUAAGGCCUGUGACCAGGCUCUAGGACCCAGGAACCAAAGCCUGUGACCAGGCUCUAGGACCCAGGAACCAAAGCCUUUGAUCAGGAUCUAGGACCCAGGACCCAAAAGACAAAGCCUUUGACCAGGAUCUAGGACUCAGGACCCAAAAGACAAAGCCUUUGACCAGGAUCUAGCACCCAGGACCCAGAAGACAAGGCCUUUGACCAGGAUCUAGGACCCAGGAACCAAGGCCUUUGACCAGGAUCUAAGACCCAGGACCCAGAAGACAAGGCCUUUGACCAGGACCCAGGACCCAGAAGACAAGGCCUUUGACCAGGAUCUAGGACCCAGGAACCAAGGCCUUUGACCAGGAUCUAGGACCCAGGACCCAGAAGACAAGGCCUUUGACCAGGACCCAGGACCCAGAAGACAAGGCCUUUGACCAGGACCCAGGACCCAGAAGACAAGGCCUUUGACCAAGAUCUAGGACCCAGGACCCAGAAGACAAGGCCUUUGACCAGAACACAGGACCUAGGACCCAGAAGCUAAGGCCUUUGACCAGGAUCUAGGACCCAGGACCCAGGCACCAAGGCCUUUGACCAGGACCCAGGACCUAGAAGCCCAGGCCUUUCACCAGGACCCAGGACCCAGAAGACAAAGGCCUUUGACCAGAAGCCCAGGCCUUUGACCAGGACCCAGAAGACAAGGCCUUUGACCAGGACCCAGAAGACAAGGCCUUUGACCAGGAUCUAGGACCCAGGACUCCGGAAUCAAGGCCUUUGACCAGGAUCUAGGACUCAGGACCCAGAAGACAAGACCUUUGACCAGGACCCAGGAACCAGAAGACAAGGCCUUUGACCAGGACCCAGGACCCAGAAGACAAGGCCUUUGACCAGGACCCAG